AUGGAAGGGGGCGGGUAUACAGCCUAUCCUGGUCGAACAACGAAGACGCCGCUGCCAGACAAGUUCACCAGCGCUUCUACCUCCUCAGGAGAUGCGACUUCGGUGACGAUCCGCCAGGUCCCGGCGUUCUCCGGAUCUACCGGCCAGACUGUGACGCUGGAUUGUUCCAUAGAAGGGAGCAGCAACGCUGCGGAUAGGUUGUUCUGGUACAGGCAAUCUCCGGGAAAGGGGCUUGAGAACCUGUUUUCCUCCAUAGUAGCCAAGACCGUGCAGCCAGAGCGAGCGGUGGACGGAUUUACCGCAGAUAGACCGAGUGACUAUGACUUCAAGCUGAGGUCCACCGGCCUGGAGGCGAAUUCGUCGGCCGUGUAUUUCUGCGCCUGGAGUGAUCACAGCGACUCAGACAGACGGAGGAGCUGA